rnacentral:lncRNA from 1 species
UGCCAUCAAUAUGACAUUCACCAUUGGUGAAGGAGCAAUUGCAGGUGACAGUACUGUUGUUGACGGCACGAGAGCCAUGUAGCGGCGGUGGAGUAAACCAGCUUGACUUAUUGUUGCAAGGAUUCUCACUGAAAUUCAUAUCCUUCUUUCCAAGUUCUGCCGCUAUCUCACGAAGAGCUUUUACUGCAAAACCAGAAAGGAAAAGAAAAAGAAAGCCAUUGGAGGAAGCUGAGUUGGAUUGAAACACAUUUACAUGAAAAUCACUGGAGUAAUAUUUUGGGGUGAGUUCUUAAGACAUAUAUACGCAAACGAAUCAAACCUGCAAUAUACCGUUUAAUGCAGAUUACUUAAGAACCAAUAAAAGAAAAAACUGCCAAAACAUGAAAUGAAAUCUUAAGAAACAAAGCGUAUCUUUAACACAAACUGAGGCAAGAUUGAAAUUGCAAGACGGUACUGAAUUACCUUCAUACCGGGGAGGAUUAGCCGGUUCCACUUGGGCUUCAACUUGGUUUGGUUCCGUGCAAAUGAGCACCAAGAGGACUGUAACAAUGAUGUACGCAAAGAGUAUCUUCAUGGUUGAAGGACACUGAGCAACUCUUCCCAUGUUCUUUCUUCGUCAAAUGAAGCAAUCUUCUUUCACUUAAACAUUUUGAUGCUGCUACGGAUCUUUAACUUACCAACUUUUGAAUUGCAUGAGAAAAAUAAAUACCAAUACUAACACAUUUAUGGUUUUAAUGAUGGUUCAGUUGACUGUAAUUUAUCAAUUGACUUAUUUACAUUUUAUAAAAAAAUCAAAAAAGGAAAAAUGGAAUGGAGGUUUAUAAUAACAAAAUGAAGUCAUUGUUUAUUGUUUUCGAUUGAGAAAUUUGUGCCAACACCCAACUAGUGAAUUUGAAAAAAAGAAAAGAAGCAAAUGUCACAUGGCUACCAGUUUUUGAAUUGUCCAGUAGUUGCAAAGGAUCUGGAAAUAAUACAAAUAAAAUGAAAAGCAUCAGAUAUAAAAUCUACUACUUCAUUUAAGACAAAAGGUAGUCCAAAGAUUAAGUUGGCUAUUUUGACCAGAUACUACCAGAGAGUUAUAUAGUAAUGUUAAAAAGUUUUUAGAAAGUGCAUUAGGAUAUAAUUGAGGAAUUUGCUGUCCUAAUACGUACAUGACAUGCUUUUAUUAUGAGUAAGUCUAACUCCUCUCCCUCAAUAUAUAUCUUUAGGCGACAGUUGACUUGGUGAUUUUUUUAAAAAUAAUAAUUACCUUUAGUUGAGGGGGAAAUUGUAAUGUAGCUUCGCAGAUACAACUUUUGGUUUGUCGGGGUUAGCGGUCACCUGGAGAAAAAAUCCUGUGUGCGGGUUUGGGUUUUUGAAAACUAGAUUCCAUAUCAGGGAAAAAUACUUUUAAAAAUAGUUAUAUUUUUCGAAUGAUUAUUUUUAAUAUAAAUUAUUAUUUUAGUGGGUAACUUUUUUAAAAGAGUAAAAUAUAAAUUUAUCUUUCUUUAAUAAGUGUAUUAUAAGUAAAUUGUGGUAUUGAUGCUAUUGAUAUUAAACUCAAUUUAUUGAUGAUUAUAUUCACAAUUUAUUUCAAAUAAAUACACUGUCUCAUAAUUAAGAAAGUGGGCAAAGAAAUCCAAAUUUAUUACUUUUUGAGCAAGUCUUUCUAUUAAGGAGAGUGCGAGGAUAUAGAUCAUCCGCUCCAGGAAUGCAAUUUUACAAGAGUGGUGUGGUUUGAUUCCUCUAUAGGAAUCCAAACGUGUUGCCUAAACACUAACUCAAUUCACGAGUGAAUUUGUACAAUCCUAAAGCAGAUAAGUUAAUAAAUGACAAGCAAUAGAGAGACAUUCACAAGUUUUGUCAUUAUCUUAUGAAGCUUUAAGAUCUUGUUUAAAGAAGGCUCCCUAAACUCGAUCGCAGUCAUUAAAUUUGCCACUGAGAUAGCUCAUCAUACUAUCAUGGCAUACUCAAGCUGGAACACCUCAAAGGUAAAGAAAUAUAGGAAACCCCUAGUCAUACCAAACUCCAAACCAACCACAUACUACUACAUUUUCCUCAAACAGGAGAGGAGGAAUUCAAAGGUGAGUGUGGUUAUCAUUAUUAAAAUCCAUGAUCUUAAAACAUAGAAACAUAGAACAUUAAGGAUUGUUCGUGAAAAUUUCAAUUAGGAACACAAAAUUAUGUGCAAACUUUGUCUCACAAUUAAGAAACUAUAUAUGUUAGAGUUGUAUGACCCAAAUUCUAAAAGAUUACUUGUAAGUCAAGUUAAAUAAAAUAUAUUUCUUUUUAGAAGAUUUAAUAUUUAUGAGUAUAAUAUAUUUAGUAUUUAUUAACAUAAUAUAUUUGACUUUGAUUAGAAUUAGGUUUUUUCAACCUAUAAAUAAAUGUAAUCGAAACUCCUCUUGAAAUCAUUCGAAUUCGACAUAGUGAAUUUUUUUCUCCUUUACCCGUGUUUUUUUCCUGAAAGAGUUUACACGUAAAAAUCUAUGCGUUCUUUAUUUUUAUUUUUUUAUUUGUAAUAUAUUAUUAUUACCGACUUUCUAUGUUUUAAUUACAAGUACGAUAUUUCUCUAAAAUGAGUUUCCUUAUUCAAUGAAGAAUUUUUAAGUUCAACAACCUAUUUUCAAAAUAGGAGGUGGAUAAAUAAAAAUUUUGGGAGAGCCCUUCAUUUGUCCAUCAUUAUAGGCAACACCAUCAUAUUAUCUAUGAAAUUCGAACCGAACUCUAUUUAAACCCAGAUUUUUACUAAUUUUUAUUGUUUUCAAAGUAUCAAUCAAGUUUGCUUUGAAUUUCAUUGAUGUUCAACAAGUGUUGAGGAAGAGCCAAGCCAUACUGUUGAAGUUGAAUCCGAUGACUGAGUAAUCGUGGUGGUUUUACUACUCCGAGAUUGCAUUCGAUUAAAUUGGUCUUUUACUGCUCCGAAUCUCGACUCAUCAGAAAAUAUACUUGGGUCCAAGAUUAAUUCAGGAACCAGGGUUCGACCUUCAAGCAUGUUUACUACUUCAGACAUGGUUGGUCUAAGUGCUGGGGAUGAAUUAGUGCAGAGUAAGGCUACUUUUGCCAUCCUAAUUGCCUCUUCUUCAUUGAACUCCGUCCCCAACCUAAGAUCCACCAGCUCCAUUAAGUUUCCCUUUUGUUGUAAAACAAGAGCCUGAAAUAGAUUGAUGACAUAAUACAACAUUAGAUUAAUUAACUGGAGAAAGGCGUUAAUGAAUUUGCACACGUUUAACCCAACCAUCAGACUCAGUUACAACUACAUGGAUAUUUCUAUGAUGAUAUUCUCAAAUUAUAACUUGAAACACGGAUCAUAUCUUACCCAAUCUUGAAGGCAUACAUAAUCCUCUUCAGGUCGAUAUUUUGUAUUGUUCUUCCCAGCAACAAUCUCUAAUGCAACAAUCCCAAAACUAUAAACGUCUGCCUUGUAGGUGAGAUAGCCCCAUAACGCAUAUUCAGGGGCCAUGUAUCCUCUGCAAAAACAGGAGCUUUAAGCGCAACAUUCUCAUGCAUAUCAACUUCGUUCACCUUCCCAUAAGCAAGGUUGGAGGCUUUGAUCUCAUUUUUAUUGCUUUAUAGUUUAAAAAUUGAUGCAUCAUUCUAUUUGCAGAAACUACAGUUUCAAGAAUGUACGUAUUAUUUUGUCUACGAUGGUAGCAGCUUCACAAAUCUAUUGCUUUGUUAGGUUCAACUAAAAUAUGCAGUGAUGAUCAGCAGAUGAAAACAGAGGGAAAGAAGUAGCUCACAUAGUUCCAGCAAUUCUGGUGCUAAUAUGGGUGUUUUCCUCCUCAUCAAACUUGGCCAAACCGAAGUCAGAGAUUUUAGCAUUGAGAUCGCUAUCAAGUAGCACAUUGGUGGUUUUGAUGUCUCGAUGUACAACUUUUAAACUCGAUUCCUCAUGCAGGAAAGUUAGGCCUUUUGCUAUGCCAAGACAAAUUUUCUGCCUAGUUGGCCAGUCUAAUUUCAGCUGGCUUUCUGUAGGACCUAUUCAAUGACACAGGCCAAUCCAGUGAAAUUCAAUUCAUCAUACAGUUGUCAAUGCAUAGUGUUCAAUUCUUUUCUUUCCAUAACUGUUAUACAAUCAACAUUACCAUUUUCUUUUCUUGUGGGAUGUAGAAGUAAUCAAAGGAGGAGAAGAACACUUGCUUAUAUGGUUCCAAUUUCAGAACCAUCAAAGAAAGGAGGAAUAAAAGAGGUUUAGGACAUUAAGCUUACCGAAUAAAGCAUGUGCAAGGCUAUUAUUUUCCAUGUAUUCAUAUACCAAUAACAGCUGAGUUCCCUCAACGCAACAUCCAUACAAUCUAACAACAUUUGGGUGUUGUAAUCCUGAAAUCAUGCCUAGUUCAUUCAAAAAUUCUCGAUCUCCUUGUCUUGAUUUUGAAGAAAGUUUUUUAAUCGCAAUUAUGGUGCCAUCAAGCAAUUCGCCCUAUAGCAGAGGUAUGACAUAGAACUUUAGUGAUAUAUUUCAUCACAUAACGCAUACUCCUAAACAUCAUAAAUUCAGCAAAGAAAAAGCAAGUGAUGCAGUUACCUUGUAGACGGCCCCAAAACCACCUUCUCCAAUUUUAUUUGCAGCGUCAAAGUUGUUUGUAGCAGCUUGCAUUUGUCUGAAGGUAAAAAAGCCAGUCUGCAGAUCUAACCCCCUCAAGACUUGGACAAGAUUGAGGGAACCAAUUGAAUUACACAUUCAAUAAGCUUGAAAACCAUGCAUAAGAGAAAUUAUUUCAAAGCAUAAAAUUGUAGAGUGAAGUUUGUUAGAGUACCUUGUUCCCUUGAUGGCUUGGGUUGAAAAUAGCCUUUCCGCCAUAGAAUGCCUAAGAUUACCAAAAUCAGGCACAGAACAGAAACAACAGCUGCCACUACGAACUUCAAAUUCUUUUCCCAUGAAUUGAGAACUCGAGGCUUGUGAUCUACCAACAAAAGGGAAGAAAAGGUACAAACAGUUAUUCUCAAACUUCAUCUGCAUGUGCAUAUGGCAGUAAAAGAUGUUAUGACUUAUCCGACAAUUUAAGUACUUAUGAUGGUAUCGGAUGCUUAAAGUUUCCUUUGGUGAAAAUUUAAGCACAUAAAUUGUUUCUUAUGCUAUAUCAGUUCACAGUAAGGUUCUACUACCUUCAGCUGCCAAGAAUCUAUGCCAUGCAGACAAUACUUAUGGGCAACUCCAUUAUUGCUUCACAUCAUGUACAUGUUAAUCCACUUUGAAUUAAACAAAUUUGACAAUUAAGAGAAGUUCCUAAAUAUAACAGAGAGAUUGAACAAGCACCUAAGAAGAAUGAAUGGCUUUUUUAAUUAUAGAUCUUACCAGAGUCUACUGAAAUAGCUGAUAUCAAGGGCCCAUAUGUUCCUCUUCUUGGGGUUGCAGUUGUCCCCUUCCCAGCCCAGUGAAAGCGUAUUGUCAAAGUUUUGUUACUGACAACCGUUUUAAUUUUCCUUACAACCGCUUUAUCAACACCCUUUGCCUCAUUUUGAAUAUUGAAAUCUUUCAAUUCUAGUUUCUCCUGAAAGGAACUUAUUCAAUCAAACCAGCUUCAGUAACAUGCAAAUUACACUUCAUAUAUAACAUUAUUGAAUACCUGGACAUAAACAUCAAAUAUCCUCCUUCCAAGACUUUGAUAGGAUCUAUUGUCUCUGAUAACUAUCUCCGCAAAGUGAAGUGUAACCGUAUAAUUUCCAUUUGCUAAGCAACGGAAGUAAUAUGUCAGAGAAAGAGGAGAGAGGCGUGCUGUUGUGUAUAAUGCAGAGUUCUUUAUUCUGAGAAUGGAAACGUUUUGUGAUAUAAAGUCCCUUGAAGUAACAUCGGUAUCCCAGAAAAGCCCCGUGCUACUAGUUUCCCAAGUCUCUCUGAGGGGGAAAUAUUUUGCUGGACCUCCUAAGUCUUCAUCACCCUCAUAGUCGAUGCCAUUAAUCGUUGUUGCUCCUCCAGCACAGUUUAUAUUUACUGAAUACCAAUCUAUCAAGAAUGAAUAGAUACAUUCAAUGUUGAUCAGGAUAAAAUCUUACUGUGAAACAUGUUUUUAGAGUCUACAGAUGUGCAUUUAAUGCAAAAAGAUUACCUUUUGAGCAAGGAAAGUUCUUCAGGCAGUUAUCUAGUCCUCUUCAUAAGAGUAGUAAGGCAAAGGAGCAUUAGUCUUGUUAAUGAGUGAUCAAAAGGGAAAGAAUAGAAAUAACUAAAAAAGCUAUGGUAACUUUUUUGCUCAAUAAGAUACAAACUUACAGGGUUUUGCCUCCUGAGAAGCUUUUGAACAAAUUUCUGAUGAAGCAGCAGACCAAUCAGUUUAAUAUUUCAAAACAUCUUACAAAAAUUUGCAAAAGCAAUACGUGCACAGCAUAGGAAGCCAAGAGGAAUUUUUUCUUACAGAUUUUCCCGACAAGAAGGCGAGUCAGAGCUUUCAGUAAAAUUAUUAUAAGAAAGAUCUAUUUGGCUGCCAAAAAGUAUAAUAUAUUAUUACUAAUUAGACUUGAAACAUUAAGGUACAUUGACUUCGAUUAAAAAUAACAAUGUUAUAACUGGAAUAAGUUACACAGGACAUGUUUCCAGGAAUGGUACUCUUGAGCAGCUACAAAAUGGAUAAUUUGGGUCAUUUUGCAUCUUUUGAAGAGAAACAGGUAGUUUGGUAGUAUAUCCUUAAGAUUGUCAAAAGAAGAAAAUCCUUAAGUCGCUGUAAAUAACUUAAGAUCGAAUCCAGUAAAAAUCAUAUUACAAAUAUUCUUCGAAGCAUCAGUUAACAAAAUGCAGAAAAUAACAGAUAAUCAUGUAUCAAAUUGAAAAAAAAAAAAGAGAAAGAAAGAUAGUUGACAUACUAGCGGCUGUCUCUAAUACUCAACCAAUUUGGAAUGUGCCCACUAAGCGAGUUGUGUGUCAGAUACCUAAUCAGUAAGCAACACUCAGAAUUAAGCACUUCUAUGGGAACCAUAUUGAAAGGUUACAACUGAAACUUAAAUUUAAAAUAAGUUCAACCAAAAUUAGGUCUUAUACAAGGAUAGUAAUGCAUGCAGAUUCCUGAUUCUGAAGCUGUGAAAGUAUGAGCAAGCGAGUUUUAUUUUGAUGUUAUCCAUGAUUUUCCAAAAUGUACACUGUUCGGAUAAAAUAAACAAAUGGAAAUGUUUUCUAUUACCAUAAGGAUUAAAAAGUCUAAUAAAAUAGGAACUUUUGAUUAAAUACUGUUUCUUUUUCAAUAAAUAUCUUAUUAAAUGAUAAAAAAAAUCUACCUAGACCGAGUAUUAUUUCAAGAGUAUAAUGUACCUAGGUGUUCUCCAGAUUGGUUAUUCUGGGGUUUGGAUGAAUAAAUGUUAAAAACUCAGCACUUACAUGUAUUGCGUUCUUGUAAGGCCUUCAGUAUCUGAAAUGUUACCUUCCAAGUUGUUGAAGCUGAGAUCUCUGGAAGAAAUAGAAAAAAAAACAGCUAAUUCUUAGGCACCAUCCAAAUAUAAAUUCUGAAAAUGAUUGAUUAAUGGAAAUUUGAAAAUCCAUAAAAUAUAUGAUGAGUGCGUUUACGAAGAAAGAAUUCAUGGAAAGCAAGCAACAUAUCAGAUGUUGAAGUUCUCAAGAUGCUGAUUAUAGCAGAUUCAUGUACGCUAUUCUAAAUAUUCAACUUGUAAAAAAACUGAAUGAAAAAUCAUAGUAUUCCAUUAAACUGGUGAAGAUGUUGCUACAAAUAUUAUAGAAUCAGUCAAUAUUAGCACCGUUUUACGUAAUGUGAUAUGGCAAUUGAUACACUAAGUGCAAAAUUAUGAAACACCUCUAAGUAGAUUGCUGCUCUAGUCUCUACAUGGAUUUGUACAAAAAUCUUUGUAAAUAUGAAACAUAAACAGAGAUUAGUCACAGAAGAACUGAGCUCGUACACAUGAACAUUGUACAUUUAUAUCAUGACGAACCUUUUCCGCAAAUCUACACAAUUGCUCCUAGUGUUGACUUAAAUACUGAAAAAUGAGAUGAAUAAGAACAGAAAAAUUACAAAAUUUGCAGUCGCGAAAGUUCCCAUACGUAAUCAGGGAUUGGUCCAGAUAUGUUGCAGCUACGUAAUAUCCUGCGUUAUGAGCCCCCAUCAUGUCAGCACAAUUAUAAAAAAUGGGGAUUAAUAUGACCUAGAAGAAUUUUGCAAGCCUUGGAAUGACUUACAAUCUGUACAUGUUUUUCAUAUUUUUUAAGUUCGGAAACUUUGAACCCUCUCCAGGUAAGUCACUGAUCCUUCUGAAAUAUAUAGCACCAUAAAGAGUUGUUAAAAUAGAAAAGGACCCCAAUUCAAUAAUUUUAGCAUCUACAUUGUAAUGAACCCAGAUUACGUUAAAUCAUUUAUAGAAAUGAAGGGCUACAAAAUCUAAAGGGAUCAAGACAAACUCACAGUUCCACUAAGUUAUGCAAGAGUGCUAAGCUUGAAGGAAUUGGCCCUUCAAAACCACUAGCUUGAAUCUCUCUGUCAGCAAAAGAAUUCAAAUCAUCACCAAAAAAACUUUCAAUAAAGAGCUAUAGAGAAGCUGUUGAGACAGAAAGGUGCUUACAAUUUCUCAAGUUGCUUCCAACUUUGAAAAAUGUCGGGCAUCUUACCAGAGAAAUUGUUACUGCUAAUCCUACUGCAUAUACCUUGCAUAAAAGCAGGGUAUUAACAAAUCUAGCCCUAUUAAUAGUAAACACUAGAUAGUGUUGAAAAGUGAAAACACUUACAGUUCUUUUAUAUUGGACAGAUUAGCCAGGAAUGAGGGAAACUUUCCGACGAGAUAGUUAGCACUAAGAGUACUGAAUUCAGGAAAGAGGCAAAAUCAGGCCAACCAUAGAGAAGUAGACUGAUAAGUCAUGCACGAAUAUCAGAAAGCGAAAAGAAAGCCUAACAGGUUUUCCAGGUUGACCAAUUUCCCAAACUCGGGUGGAAUAGUUCCAGAAAACAGGUUGUUCUCCAGGCUCCUGAAAAUAUAAUACUAAAAGAAACGUUAUAAUGCAUUUAAGGAAAAAGGAAAGAAAUAAUGCUAAAGAAAACAUAGGCAAGCGAGGCAUACAGAUAUUUUAGAGAGGUUAUGUUUCCUAAAUAGCUUGGAAUUGGCCCCGAUAAGCGGUUCAUAGCAACAUUCCUGAAAUGUAUCCGUUGCUAUCAGUUGAAUGAAAAUAAGCUUCUUCUAAACAGGAUAAACAUGAAAUGCGCUAGUAGCUUACAGUGUCUCCAACUUCAGAGCAGCCCAUUCACGUGGUAUUUUGCCAUUAAGAUAGUUGAGAUAUAGUACCCUAAAAGCAACAGAAAGAGGAGUUAUAAAGAAAGAUAGAAGCUUAUUUGCUGGUUAAAGAGUAAAAUCAUCAAUUGUAUCAUUUUUUCUUACAAUACUUUAAUAUAUGAUAGCUUGACAAGUGAGCGUGGUAGAACACCAUCAAGAUCCUGCCCCAAAAGGUAGCUGUUCCAAUGAAUACAAAGUUUUUAGAAGCAUGUCAAAUUCAAAAUUCCAGAAAUAUUUUCUCUCACACAAUAGUUUGGAGAGAAAUUUUUGUUGCAGAAAAAGUAUUGAAAGACCCCUUUCAGUGAUAGAAAACGACAGUGUUGAUAUUAUAUAAUGACUGAGAUGAUUAAUUGGGAUAAAUUUGUAUCCGAAUUCGAAGCCAUACUCAUACAGCCAUUCAUCUGGAAUGAGGCACACCCUUACUCUAUUUGCCUAUGGUAAUAAUUUCAUAGUGCUAAAAUCAAAAUGGACAAUUCAAGCAAAGCAAAUCACUGAUACAGAAAUCAAAGUUAACAUACUGAAAAUAAAAAGAAAGAGGACUGUCUAUGGUUAAGGAAAUUAAAAUAAGCAUCAAUUUUAUUAUGAUCAGUGAGGACUUACAUGCCAUCAAUAUGACAUUUACCAUUGGGGAAGGAGCAAUUGCAGGUGACAGUACUGUUGUUAAUGGCCUCAGGCACAUUUGGCGGCGGCGGUGGAGUAAACCAACUUGACUUAUUGUUGCAAGGGUUUUCAUUGUAAUUCCAAUCCUUCUUCCCAAGUUCUGUUGCUAUCUCACGAAGAGCUCUUACUGCAAACCCAGAAAGAAAAGAACAAAUAUUUGAGAAGCAAUUGGAGGAAGUAGAAUUGGGUUGGUACAAAUUUACAAGCAAAUCACAGGAUAAUUCUAAACACUCAAGUACAUACUCAAAUGAACCAAACCUGCAAUUUACUGUUUGGUUGAGAUUAGUUAAGAAACAAUAAAAAGAAAAGUGGACUGGAACAGAGUAAAGUCUCGGAAUAUGAAGAGGAAAUUUCCAAUAUCAGCUAGUAAAGAAAUACUGUUAAUCUUUAACACAACCUGAAGCAAGAAAGAAGUUGCAAAGCUGUGCUAACUUACCUUCAUAAUCUGGAGGAUAGGGCGGCUCCACUUGGGCUUCAACUUGGUUUGGUUCCAUGCAAAUGAGCAUCAAGACUGUAAGAAUCAUGAACCCAAAGAGUAUUUUCAUGGUUGAAGGACGUGUAGCAAGUCUGCCCAUGUUUAUCUUAGUGAAAUGAAGCAAUCUUCUUACAUGGACAUUCAUGAUUUCAAUGAUGGAAAUGUGGAAAAGAUAAGUUGGCGAAAAGUGCUGUCAUGUCAAAAAAGGUGCAAUGAAGUAAAAAAUUACCACUUAUUUCCAUUUCAUAGAAAAAAAAAACUAAUAAAGUAAUAAUAAAAUUUUAUAGAAUAAAGUAAGGCCCCACUCUUUAUUGUAAAGGAGAAGAAUCAAUUAUCACAUGCCUAUAGUUUAUGAAUUGUCCACUAGUCAAGGAUUUGGAAAAAUAAUAAAUAGAAAUAGAAUUGAGAUCUAAACUAUACUAAAUUUUAGGGUUAAAAGACAGACCAUUGAUGACCAAAUUUUCUUUUAGUCUUUGUCCGUCUACAUCACAUUUUUUUUUUAUGAUUUUUAGAUUAAAUAAAUUCAUACUUCACCGGUUUACCAUUGACCCUACCUAACUCAUCAGUCGACCAAGACCCCAGUCAUUAAAAACAUAACCCUCCCCGAAUUUAUUGAAACCAGAGUAUUUGAGUAACGUCGAUACAUAUUGUUAAAUAACUAAUCAAUUUUAAUUUAAGAUUCUCGAAGAUUUAAGAGAAGUCAACAAAAUUAUUAAUAAUUUAAAAUAUAAUUUCACGUGGAAGAAUUUUUUAUGUUACUUUCUUUUCUAUUUUGAUUACUCAUUCCUGCAAUUUUUUUUUUUCCUAAUUUUUUAACUAACCGUUGAAAGCAUUAUUUCUGAUUCUUCAAUAAUGUUUAUAUACAUUGAAACUAUUUCGAAUAUCAUUAUUGUAAUUUAAAUUAUAAUGUUUUAGAAUUAAUUCUCAAUUUGAUAUAAAGCAUCAAAGGAUACUAAACUAUUUUUCAUUAAUGUUCUUUAGCGUAUACCCACCUGACCUGUUUUUCGUUAAGGCUGGUCUUGAAAAUAGAAACUCAUACAUUAUAAAGUGACCCACUUUAUAUAUGCUGCUUCAUGUUCUAUUGAAGUAGCAUAUUUUGGAUAUGAGGCGGUGGCCACAAAUGAAAGGAAACUGUUUUGGGAAGGAGGGGUAUUCUUAUUUAAUGUAGUGGAGAUAAAAUACGCUGAGGAUGCUAAUAUAUUGUUAGGUGUUAGUCCAAAGAGAGGAUUUUUUUUUAAAAUUAAAUCAAAUAUAUUGUGAUUUAAUUAUAAAAUCUUGUAGAAGUAAGAAAUUAUAAGAAAAUAUAUAAAGGAAUAUUUAUAGAAUUAAAACAUAUGUUAUAAAAUAUAACUAAAAAUAUAAAUUUAAUAUAAAAGUAUUUUAGUAAAUAUAAAAUGUUGUGUUUUAAAGCCUACCUCGAAUUUUUUUAAAGCCUUUUAACAAGUCGGGACAGAUCAAAAUUUGUUGGAUUCAAUUUUUAGUAGAUUAAAUAAUUAAUAAUUUUGUUUAUUGUUUUUAAUAUUUAAGAUAAAAGGAGAUUAGGGUAAACUACAUAAUUGGUGAUUUAACUUUCAUAAAUUUUUAUUUUAGGCAUCAAAAUAAAAAAAAAUUGCAAUAAGAGGACUGCUGUUAACAACGACUUUCAUUUUGAUUACCCGUCAUUAAUUUGGAAUUAAAAAAUAUUAGUAUAAGCUCAUUUUAGUCACUUAAUUUUGUUAGUUUUCAUUUUAGUUAGUUGUUUUAUUUUUUUAGAAUUAACUCUAAUAAAGGGGAAAUAAAAUAAAUUAAAAAGAUAAAUUUGUUUUUCCUUUAAAAACUUAACUCCAAUAUUUUGCUUACUGAUAUCUCUCUAAAAAACUCAGAUUUACCCUUUACUGAAAUAAACUAAAAUUAAUUAUAAAAAAGAAAAAAGAUCAGAUAAAAUAGGUUAUUAAAAUGAAAAAUUAUUAAAAUUAAAUGACUAAAAAUAAGUGUAAAAUAAUAUUACCUAAUCUUAAAUUAACGAUACAUGAUCAAAAUAAAAAUAAUUAUUAACAAGAGUACCCUUAUUACAAAUUUUUUAUUUUCCACGUACAAACUAAAAGCUUACAAUUUUUCAUGAACAACAAUAUGGUUUACUUUUACCAAUUAAUUAUAAAAAGUGCCUAACAGCUCUAAUAUGCCACAUUUUGGCAUUUGAAGUAUUAAGAGGACAUGGUGUCCAACUGUCCCUGGAACCUGCAGAGGAUAAGCUUUAUUUUAUCCAAUUGAAUACUGCCAGUCCUCAACUUCAGCUUGAGAUCAUACAUAUUUUCUGGAGAAAAGUAACAUUCUAACAUUUCUUUUCACUAACUUUUAUGAAUUUCAUCUUUAAAUUUGUUAUCCACAGUUUUUAAAUUUAAAUUCUGUUAAAUAAUUUAUUUUUUAAGACCGUUAAUAUAAGGGCAUUGUUAUUUUGAAAAAUAUAUAAAAAUUUUAAAAAAAUAUUAGAAACUCUAUAGCAUACGUGUAUAUAUGAAAAUUACACAUUUAAAACAUAAAUGUGUGUUUGAAAAUAAUAUACAAUAAAUAAUAAAACGUAUGGUUUGAAAUAAAUUUAAUAAUAACACAUGAAAUAUGUUAUUAUUAAUAGUAUAAAUAUAUGAUUGAUGAAUGCAAUAAAAUGUAAAUAUUAAAACAAAAAUGUAUAAAAACUAUUAAAAUAAAAGUUUAGUUGAUUGGUAAAUUUAAAGUUUUAUUAAUCUAAUUAGCAUGUGUUCAAAUCUCACUAUUUAAAUAUUUUAUGGCUUUUGUUGAAAAAAAAAAACUAAAAUACUUUUGAAUAAUAUAUCUUAUUUUAAUUAUAGAAUGACAUUUUCGUAAUUUCUCUCACCAAGUUAGUGACCCGAUUGAAGGUGACACUAAUUUAAUAUAACACUUAAUAAAUAAUAUAGAUAAAAAAUGCUAAAAAUGUGUGUCCACAAUGAAUAUAGAGAGGGGCGAACAAAUGUAAAAUUAUAGUUAUAGCCCCUUAAAGAUAAUUACAUUAUAAAUUAAUAAAGAGUAAAAUUAUACUUUGGCCCCGAAAAUUUUAAAAAAUUUAUUUAGUCCCUUCAAAAAAAUGAAAUCAUAAUUUAAUACAUGAUAAAAUUCAUAUUUUGACAUAUUUUUGAAAAUUUUUAAGGUUUUUAAAUUUUUAUAAAUUUCUAAAUUUAUAUAUAUUUAAAAUAUUUUAAGUUUUUCUUUAUAAAUUUCAAUACUUUUUAUAUUUUAAAAAAUCCAUUUAGUGAUAUCACACUUACUCAAAGUAUCCUACAUGAGUUAAUGGGAUUUUUGUUUUCCCUAGUAUAAAAAUUUGAGUUAUUUGGUAAUAAAGUUAUCGUGAUUUAAGGGAUAAAUUUUUUACUAUUCAUCUUUAUAAUAAAAGAAUAAUAUUUCACAAGUUGACUAAUUGAUCAUGGAUUGUUUAUUUAUAGGGACUAUCAUUUGAAAAUCAUUUAACCCUUCGAGAGAGGAGUUUUUACACAGAUGAUAGAAGAAAGAGUUUUUAGUGUAAGCGAAUUUUGGAAGUAUGCACACAAAAGUGUACAACAUCAAGACCGUAGUAAUCAUUAGAAGUCUUAAGAGUAAUUGAAUAGUAAUCGGUGCUUGUACUGUUUACUUUACUAGGGUGUGAUCAGCCAAGUGGCCUAAACAAUUUAUAUAUUUUUACAUUACAAUAAUAUCAAUCAACUUUGCUUUGAAUUUCAUGGAUGUUGAACAGACGUUGAGGAGGAACCAGACCAUGCUGUUGAACUUGAAUAUAUUGAUGAUUGAGUAAUCGUGGUGAUUUCACUACUCUUCCGAGACUGCAUUUGGUUAAAUUGGUCUUUUAGUGCUCCAAAUCUCGACUCAUCAGCAAAGAUACUUGGGUCCAUGAUUAAUUUAGGAACAAGGGCUCGACCUUCAAGCAUGUUUACUACUUCAGACAUGGUCGGUCUAAGUGCUGGGGAUGAAUUAGUGCACAAUAAAGCAACCUUUGCCAUCCUAAUUGCCUCUUCUUCAUUGAACUGCGUCCCCAACCUUGGAUCCACCAACUCCAUUAAGUUUCCCUUUUGUUGCAAAACUAGAGCCUGAAAUACAUUGAUGACAUAAUGGAACUUCAACAUUAACUAAAUUAACAUGAAUAAGGCAUUAAUGACUUUGCAGAAGUUUAAUGCACCAAUCAGUUACAAUGCAUGGAUGUUUCUAUGAUGAUAUUCUCAUAUUAUAACUUGAAACAUGGAUUAUAUCUUACCCGAUCUUGAAGGCAUACAUAAUCGCCUUCUGGUCGAUAUUUUGUAUUGUUCUUCCCGGCAACAAUCCCGAAACUAUAAACAUCUGCCUUGUAGGUCAGAUAGCCCCAUAAUGCAUAUUCUGGGGCCAUGUAUCCUCUGCAAAAAUUGGAGCUUUAAGCACAACAUUCUCAUGCAUAUCAACUUUGUUCACCUUUCCAUAAGCAAGAUUGGAGGCUUUGAUCUCAUUUUUACAGCUUUAUAGUUUAAAUAUUGAUGCAUCAUUCAAUUUGCAGUACGUAAUAUUUUGUCUAUGAUGGUAGCAGCUUGACAAAUCUAUUGUUUUGUUUGAUUCAACUAAAACAUGCAAUGAUGAUCAGCAGAUGAAAACAGAGGGAAGGAGGCAGCUCACAUAGUUCCAGCAAUUCUAGUGCUAAUAUGGGUGUUUUCCCCUUCAUCAAACUUGGCCAAACCGAAGUCGGAGAUCUUAGCAUUGAGAUUGCUAUCAAGUAGCACAUUGGUAGUUUUGAUGUCUCGAUGUACAAUUGUUAAACUCGAUUCUUCGUGCAGGAAAGCUAGACCUUUUGCUAUGUCAAGACAAAUUUUCUGCCUACUAGGCCAGUCCAAUAUCAGCUGGCUUUCUUGAGGACCUGCUCAUUGACACAGGCCAAUCCAGUGAAAUUCAAUUCAUCAAACAAUUGUCGGUACAGAGUGUUGAGAUCUUUUCUCUCUUUAACUUUUAUAAAAUCAAUAUCAACAUUUUCUUUGCUUGUGGGGACAUGGAAGCGUCCAAACGAGGAAAAGAACACUCGCUCAAUGUGGUUCCAAUCACAGAACCAUCAAAGAAAGGGGGAAUAAAAGAGGUUUAGGACAUUAAGCUUACCGAAUAAAGCAUGUGCAAGGCUAUUAUUUUCCAUGUAUUCAUAUACCAAUAACAGCUGAGUUCCCUCAACGCAACAUCCAUACAAUCUAACAACAUUCGGGUGUUGUAAUCCUGAAAUCAUGCCUAGUUCAUUCAGAAAUUCUCUGUCUCCUUGUCUUGAUUGUGAAGAAAGUUUUUUAAUCGCAAUUAUGGUGCCAUCAAGCAAUACACCCUACAGCAGAGGUAUAACAUAUAAUUUUUGUUAUAUAUUUCAUCACAUAACCCAUACUCCGAAACAUCAUAAAUUCAGUAAACAAAAAGCACGUUAUGCAGGUACCUUGUAGACAGCUCCAAAACCACCUUUUCCAAUUUUAUUUGCAGCGUCAAAGUUGUUCGUGGCAGCUUUCAUUUGUAUAAAGGUAAAAAAGCCAGUCUGCAGAUCUAACCCCCUCAAGACUUGGAAAAGAUUGAGGGAACCAAUUGAAUUACACAUUCAAUAAGCUUGAAAAACAUGCAUACGUUCAAAUAGAUCAUCCUAGAGAAAUUAUCUUGAAGUAUAAAAUUGUAGAUUCAGAUUUGUUAGAUUACCUUGUUCCCUUGAUGGCUUGGGUCGAAAAUAGCCUUUCCACCAUAGAAUACCUAAGAUUACCAAAAUCAGGCACAGAACAGAAACAACAGCUCCCACUACAAACUUCAAAUUCUUUUCCCAUGCAUUGAGAACUCGAGGCUUGUGAUCUACCAACAAAAGGGAAGAAAAGGUACAAACCGUUAUUCUCAAACUGCAUCUCCUGAAGUAACACUGCAUGUGCAUAUCAUAUGGCUGUAAAUAUGUUUACUUAUCUGAAAAUAUAAGUACUUAAGACGGUAUCGGAUGCUUAAAAUUUCCUUUUGAGAAAAUGUAGGCACAUAAAGUGGGUCUUAUGUUGCUGUGUCAGUUUACAGUAAAGUUCUACUAGAUUCAGCUACCAAGAAUCUAUACCAUGCAGACAAUAGUUUAAGGGCAACUCCAUUAUUGCUUCACGUCAUGUACAUGUUAAUCCACUUUGAAUUAAACAAAUUUGACAAUUAAGAAAAGAAAAUCCCAAAUAUAAAUGGGAGAUUGAUUAAGCACAUGAGAAGAACGAAUGGCUAUUUUAAUUAUAGAUCUUACCGGAGUCUACUGAGAUAGCUGAUAUCAAGGGACCAUAUGUUCCUCUUCUUGGGAUUGCAGUUGUCCCCUUCCCAGCCCAGUGAAAGCGUAUUGUCAAAGUUUUGUUCCUCACAACUGUUUUAAAUUUCCUUAUGACUGCUUUAUCGACCCCCUUUGCCUCAUUUUUAAUAUUCAAAUCUUUCAAUUCAAGUUUCUCCUGCAACAAGCUUAUUCGAUCAAUCUGGCUUCAAUAACAUGCAAAUUACACUACAUAUUAACAUGAACUACCUGUACAUAAACAUCAAAUAUCCUCCUUCCAAGACUUUGAUAGGAUCUAUUGUCUCUGAUAACUAUCUCUGCAAAGUGAAGUGUAACCGUAUAAUUUCCAUUUGCUAAGCAACGGAAGUAAUAAGUGCGAGAAAGAGGAGAAAGGCGUGCUCUUGUGUAUAAUUCAGAGUUGUUUGUUCUGAGAACAGAAAAAUUUUGAGCUAAAAAGUCCAUUGAAGUAGGAGUGGUAUCCCAGAAAAGCCCAGUGCUACAAGUUUCCCAAGUCUCUUUGAGUGGAACAUAUUUUGCUCGACCUCCUAAGUCUUCAUCUGCCUCAUAGUCGACUCCAUUAAUAGUUGUUGCUCCUCCACCACAAUUUAUAUUUACUGAAUGCCAAUCUAUAAAGAAUGAAAAAAAAACAUUGCAUGUUGAGUAUGAGAAAACCUUACUUGAAACAUGUUUCUAGAGUCUAUAGAUUUGCAUUUUAAUGCGAAGGAAUUACCUUUCGAACAAGGAAAGUUCUUCAGGCAGUUAUCCGAUCCUCUACAUCACUGUAGUAUGAAAAAGAAGCAUCAGUCUUGUUAAAGAGUGAUCAAAAGGAAAAUAAAAUAAAAUAAACAAAAUGCCUGGUAACAUUUUUGCGCAAUAAGAUACAAACUUACAAGUCUUUUCCUCCUGCAAAGCUUUCGAAAAAAUUUCUGAUGAAGAAAUAGACCAACCAGGUUAACAAUUCGACACUUCUUACAAAAAAUUGGAAAAGUGAUACGUACACAACAUAGGAAGUCAAGUUAAGAGGAUGUUUUUCUUACAGAUUUUCCCGAUAAGGAGGCGACUGAAGGCUUUCAGAAAAAUUGUUAUAAGAAAGAUCGACCUGGCUGCAAAAAUUGUAUAAUAUAUUAUAAACAACUAGAAUUGAAAUAUUAAGGUACAUUAAUUUUGAGUAAAACUAACAAUAUUAUAACCAGCAUAAGUUACCAAGAAUGGUACUUUUGAGCAACUAAAAAAUGGAUAAUUUGGGUUAUUUUUGCAUUGUUUGAAGAGAAAUAGGUAGUUUGGAAGUGUAUCCUUAAGAUUGUCAAAAAUGAAAAUCCUGAAGUGAUUGUAAACAACUUAAGAACUAUGAAUAUUCUUUGUAGAGUUGAGUUAACAAAAUGCAGAAAAUAAACGGAUAAUCAUGGCUAAGAAAUAUAAACACCAACACCAACACCACCACCACCACCAACAACAACAACAAUAAUAAUAAUAAUAAGGGAGGAUAGUAGACAUACUAGCGGCUAUCUCUAAUACUCAUCCAAUCUGGAAUGCGCCCAGUAAGCGAGUUUUUGUCAGGUACCUAAUCAGUAAGGAGCACACCACAGUUAAGCACUUCUGCUGGAACUAUAUUGGAAGGAUUUAAUUGGAACUUAGAAGUGAAGUAAGUUCAAGCAAAUUUAGAACUUAUAUGAGGAUAUUAAUGCAUGCAGACUUGUUCUUUCCUUCCUGAUUCUGAAGUUGUAAAAGUAUCAGUAAGCUAGUUUUAUUUUGAUCUUAUCCAUGAUUUUCCAAAAUGUGCAUUGUUCAUAUAAAAUAAACAAAUGAAAGUGUUCUCUAUUACCUAAGAAAAAAGUUCUAAUAAACUUGGAACUUUUGAUGAACUAAUGAUAAGAACAAAAACACUACCUAGAUUGAGUAUUAUUUCUACAGCAUGCUAUGCAUAGGGAUCUUCAUAUUGGUUAAUCUGGGUUUGGGUGAGUACAUCUCAAGAAUUCAUCGCACUUACAUGUACUGUGUUUUUGUAAGGCUUUCAGAAUCUGAAACGCUACCUUCCAAAUUAUUGAAGCUGAGAUCUCUGGAAGAAAUAGACAAAUCAACUAUUUCACAGUUAUAAAAAUAUAAAAUUUUAAAUGAUAGGUUAAUUGAAAUGUGAAAUCCAAAUAUAUAGAUGAGUCAAUUUAUGAAGAAUGAAUUCAUGAAAACAAGCAAACAUAUCAGAUUUUUAAGUUCUCAAGAUGCUGACCAUCGCAGAUUCAUGUACAUUAUUCUAAAUGUUCUUUAAAAAAGAUUGAAGUAUGAAAAAUUUAUUAAACCCACAAAAUAGUAUGUCCAGCACAGAGAUAAAUACUGAAAAUUGAGGUGAAAUAAGAAUAGCUGAAUUACAAAAUUUGCAGUCGCGAAAAUUCCCAUACAUAAUCUGGGAUUGGUCCAGAUAUAUUGCAGCCACCUAACAUCCUGCAGUACGAGUCCCUAUCAUGUGAGCACAAUUAUAGCAAAUGGAUGAUCAAUGAAGAAUUUUGAAAGCCUGUGGAUGACUUACAGCCUGUACAUGUUGUUCAUAUUUUUUAAGUUAGGAAACUUUGAUCCCUCUCCAGGCAGGUCACUGAUCCUUCUGAAUUAUAUUGCAACAUAAAAAAAAAUGUUAAAAAUGACCCUCAAUGCAGCAAUUUUAGUAUCUGAAUUGGAAUGGAACCAGAUUAUGUUAAUAGAAAUUAAGGGCUACAAAAUUUAGAGGGAUAAGACACACAAACUCACAGUUCCACUAAGUUAUGCAAGAGUGCUAAGCUUGAAGGAAUUGGCCCUUCAUAACCACUAGCUUGAAUCUCUCUGUCAGUAAAGGAAUUCAAAUUUAUGAUGUAAUCAUCACCAAAAUUUUCGAUGAAGAUCUAUAGAGACAAAAAGGCGUUUACAAUUUCUCAAGUUGCUUCCAACUUCGAAAAAUGUCGGGCAUCUUUCCAGUGAAAUUGUUACUGCUAAUCCUACUGUAUAAACCUCACAUAAAAGCAGGGGUAGUAAACAAAUCUAGCUUUAUUAACAGUAAACUCUAGAUAGUGCUUAAAACACUUACAGUUCUUUUAGGUUGGAGAGAUUAGCAAGGGACGAGGGAAACUUUCCGGUAAGAUAGUUAGCAUUAAGAAUACUGCAUUCAGGAAAGAGGCAAAAUCAAGCCAACCAUACUAUACUAAAUAUUUGUGGGAGAGAGUAGAGUGGUAAAUCAUGCAUGGAUAUCUAACAGGGAAAGAAGCCUAACAGGUUUUCCAGGUUAACCAAUCUCCCAAAUUCAGGAGGAAUCGUUCCAGAAAACAGGUUGUUCUCGAUGCUCCUGAAAGUACAACACAAAUAAGAAACCAGAUCUUGCUUUUAAAGAAAGAAGGAAAGAGAUAAUACACAAGAAAACAUCGGCAACCGAGGCAUACAGAAAUUUUAGAGUGGUUAUGUUCCCUAAAUAGCUUGGAAUUGGCCCUGAUAAGCGGUUCAUGGGAAGUGCCCUGAAAUGUAUUCGUUCUUAUCAGUUGAAUGAAAAUAAGAUUCUUCUGAACAGGAUAAAACAUGAAGUGGUCUAGUAGCUUACUCCGUCUCCAACUUUAGAGCAGCCCAUUCAUGUGGUAUUGUACCCUUAAGAUAGUUCUUAUAGAGAUGUCUAAAAGCAACACAGACAAAAAAAAAAAAACAAUUUUAAAAUGGAUAGAAGGUCAGUUCCUAGUUAAAGAGUAAAAUCAUCAAUUGUAACCUUCUUCUUACAAUGUCUUAAUAUAUGAUAGCUUCCCAAGUGAGCGUGGAAGAACGCCAUCAAGAUCCUGCCCUACAAGAUAGCUUUUUUCCGAUGGAUACAAAGCUUUUCAGAAGCAUGUUCAUUUCAAAAUUUCCAAAAAUAUGUUUGUCUAAUAAAUAAAAUGGCAGCAUUCAUAUUCUAUAAUUACUUAAAUGAUUAGUUGGGAUAAAUUUGUAUUCGUAUUUGAAGCUAUAGCCAUACAGUAAUUUAUCUUGAAUGAGUUAUUUGCCUAUGGGGAAUUCAAGCAAAUCACUGUUAUAGAAAUGAAGGCUAAUAUAAUGAAAAGAAAGAAUGAAAGAAAGAGGACUAGGUCUAUGGUUAAGAAAUUAGAAAAAACAUCAAUUUUCUUAUCACCGUUAAGGACAUACAUGCCAUCAAUAUGACAUUCACCAUUGGUGAAGGAGCAAUUGCAGGUGACAGUACUGUUGUUGACGGUACGAGAGCCAUGUAGCGGCGGUGGAGUAAACCAGCUUGACUUAUUGUUGCAAGGAUUCUCACUGAAAUUCCAAUCCUUCUUUCCAAGUUCUGCCGCUAUCUCACGAAGAGCUUUUACUGCAAAACCAGAAAGGAAAAGGAAAAAAAAGAAAAGAAAAAAAAGCCGUUGGAGGAAGCUGAGUUGGAUUGAAACACAUUUACAUGAAAAUCACCGGAGUAAUAUUUUGGGGUGAGUUCUUAAGACAUAUAUACGCAAACGAAUCAAACCUGCAAUAUACCGUUUAAUGCAGAUUACUUAAGAACCAAUAAAAGAGAAAACUGCCAAAACAUGAAAUGAAAUCUUAAGAACCAAUGCUUAUCUUUAACACAAACUGAGGCAAGAAAGAGAUUGCAAGACGGUACUG